UGGAGAGAAGACGCUGUGACAUGAUGAUCUCACGCUCAGUGAAGUGAAACUAAACUCAACUCCGCCGGGGGACGGGAAGUGACGUCACGUCGUCAGGGCAACAACAGGAAGCAGGACUGACGUUUGUUGUUUUGUUUUUUUGACGUGAUGCUGCAGGACCUCUGUCACCAUGUCAACACACUCAGGAGGGAUCUGAUUGGCUGCUGCAGGUCGUGUGGUUAUCCAGAGGCGAGCAGAGGGAAGCAGUUUCCCGCUGACGAGGUUUGUCAGCAGCACAUCGACUCUGUAACAUCAGACAGGAUCUGAUGGUGACUGAAGUCCAGAGGAAGUCGACACUCGUCCAGACUGUCAAAGAUGAACACAACCUGGAACUCUUCAAACCUGCACAUUCCUGCUUCUUUGGUUUCAUUAAAAGAAGUGAUGUGCUGUUUCCCUUUCUGCA